AGAGUUUGAUCCUGGCUCAGAACAAACGCUGGCGGCGUGCCUAACACAUGCAAGUCGUACGAGAAAGGGUCCUUCGGGACCUGAGUAAAGUGGCGCACGGGUGAGUAACGCGUGGAUAAUCUGCCCUUCAGUUGGGAAUAACUCAUCGAAAGGUGGGCUAAUACCGAAUAAUACUGUGAGACCUCGGUCGAUCAGUCAAAGAGAGCCUCUGCUUGCAUGCCCUUGCUGAAGGAUGAGUCCGCGUACCAUUAGCUAGUUGGUAGGGUAAUGGCCUACCAAGGCGACGAUGGUUAGCUGGUCUGAGAGGAUGAUCAGCCACACUGGAACUGAGACACGGUCCAGACUCCUACGGGAGGCAGCAGUGAGGAAUCUUGCGCAAUGGGGGAAACCCUGACGCAGCAACGCCGCGUGAGUGAGGAAGGUCUUCGGAUUGUAAACUCCUGUCAGUGGGGAAAAAGGGGAACGGGCUCAUACCCCGUUUCAUUGAUUGUACCCGCAGAGGAAGCCCCGGCUAACUCUGUGCCAGCAGCCGCGGUAAUACAGAGGGGGCAAGCGUUAUUCGGAAUUAUUGGGCGUAAAGGGCGCGUAGGCGGCCCUUCAAGUGGUAGGUGAAAUCCCUCGGCUCAACCGAGGAGCUGCCCGCCAAACUGAAGAGCUUGAGUCCGGGAGAGGUGAGUGGAAUUCCCAGUGUAGCGGUGAAAUGCGUAGAUAUUGGGAGGAACACCAGUGGCGAAGGCGGCUCACUGGACCGGAACUGACGCUGAGGCGCGAAAGCGUGGGGAGCAAACGGGAUUAGAUACCCUGGUAGUCC
rnacentral:rRNA from 1 species